UGCCGUGCAUUUAUUUUUUAUUUGCAAUGCACUGCUUUGUGAGACACUGUUUACAAGUACAAUGUCAGUUCACGAAUCGUGUCGAUGCUAAUGUCACUGAAGAAAUUGGCUGUCGUGAAUUAAGUGUCUCCCAUAUUACCAUACUCUCAUUUACAGCUUCUUUCUCUGAUUGCCAAAAUCAUUUAAAAUUCCAUUUAUGAGAUUCUUGUUACAUGUAAGAAAGUGGAGUGUUUUAAAAUGCUAUGGACUCAAACCCAGGACCUACUACACAUAAGGCCAUAACUCUACCCAUUUAGCUUCUUGGAUAGUAUAGCAUUAGUGUGAAUCUCUGGUAUCGUACAAAUAUCCCUCAACCAUACUGAAUUCCUAAGAAUUUACCUGUUUUGAGGGCAAACUAAUGGGGUGCCAUGAAUUCCCUAGUAUCCCCCAUCAGUUUCUGAUUUCUUUUUGUAUUUUAUUUACAAUUUUAAAGUAUGUCUGAUGUCCUCACAUCAUCACCAGCAUAUCCCGAAACAUCAUCAACAUGCAGGGGGUGUGCUUGAUGACAUCAGCUUUGUGAGGCAGUGCCUGACUGCCUGUAGGACUCGCUGAGACUUGGGAGAUUUAAAAAAAAAAAAAAAAAAAAGUGCACUGCAGCAGCCAACCAACGAGGGCAUUGCUUCAACGCAAUGAAGUACCAGGGUCCUGAGAGGACUACUUUCUCCGUCAUAAGAGCAGAUAGAAAACAGGCAUUGCCAAUUUGAACCCAGGCCCCGAGAGGACUACAUUGUCGGUCAUAAGAGUGGAUGGAAAAUAGGCGUUGCCAAUCCAAUAACUUAAAAGGCACGUAAUAUGAAAUAAUCCCAAAGACGAAUCUCGUAGAUGACUCACUUGUUAGUUACGGCUGUUUGUAUGUGGAAAGAACAAUUUAAGGGGCUCUGAGAAAUGUGUUGACUACAGUGUACAUGAAAGCUUGGGUAUUAGUGGAUAAUGGAUAUAAGCUAAAUAAAACAAAAAUAGCUGUUCAGUUAUG